GCCUGACUGGCUCAGUUGGUAGAGCAUGUAGCUCUUGAUCUCAGGGUUGUGAGUUUGAGGCCCAUGUUGGGUA
rnacentral:tRNA from 1 species